UACCUGCAGCUCAAGUGGUGGCCGUUAUUAUUGGGCCUAAAACGUCCGUAGCCGGUUUAUUAAAUGCCUGGGUAAAUCGGGCCGCUUAACGGUUCGAAUUCCGGGUAGACUGAUAGACUUGGGACCGGGAGAAGCUAGAGGUACUCCUGGGGUAGAGGUGAAAUUCUGUAAUCCUAGGGGGACCACCAGUGGCGGAGGCGUCUAGCUAGAACGGGUCUGACGGUGAGGGACGAAGCCCUGGGGCGCAAACCGGAUUAGAUACCCGGGUAGUCCAGGGUGUAAACGCUGCUUGCUUGAUGUUAGUCGGGCUCCGAGCCCGAUUAGUGUCGGAGAGAAGUUGUUAAGCAAGCUGCCUGGGAAGUACGGCCGCAAGACUGAAACUUAAAGGAAUUGGCGGGGGAGCACAGCAACGGGUGGAGCGCGCGGUUU
rnacentral:rRNA from 1 species